rnacentral:rRNA from 1 species
AGCAGCCGCGGUAAUUCCAGCUCCAAUAGCGUAUAUUAAAGUUGUUGCAGUUAAAAAGCUCGUAGUUGAAUUUCGGGGUUAGUAAGUUGGUCAUGCCAUUGGUAUGCACUGGCUUUACUGAUUCCUCCUUCUUGACGAACCGUGAUGUCAUUAAUUUGGUGUUGCGGGAAAUCAGGACUGUUACUUUGAAAAAAUUAGAGUGUUUAAAGCAGGCUAACGCUUGAAUACAUUAGCAUGGAAUAAUGAAAUAGGACGUUUGAUCCUAUUUUGUUGGUUUCUAGGAUUGACGUAAUGAUUAAUAGGGAUAGUUGGGGGCAUUAGUAUUCAAUUGUCAGAGGUGAAAUUCUUGGAUUUAUUGAAGACUGACUACUGCGAAAGCAUUUGCCAAGGAUGUUUUCAUUAAUCAAGAACGAAAGUUAGGGGAUCGAAGACGAUCAGAUACCGUCGUAGUCUUAACCAUAAACUAUGCCGACUAGGGAUCGGAUGAUGUUAAUUUUUUAAUGACUCA